AGCAGCCGCGGUAAUUCCAGCUCCAAUAGCGUAUAUUAAAGUUGUUGCAGUUAAAAAGCUCGUAGUUGAAUUUCGGGAUCAAAGGAUCGGUCAUGCCUUGGUAUGUACUGGUUUUAUUGGUUCUCACCUUCUAAAGAACCAUAAUGUCAUUCAUUUGAUGUUAUGGGGAAUUAGGACUGUUACCUUGAAAAAAUUAGAGUGUUUAAAGCAGGCUCACGCUUGAAUACAUUAGCAUGGAAUAAUGAAAUAGGACGUUUGAUUCUAUUUUGUUGGUUUCUAGGAUCGACGUAAUGAUUAAUAGGGAUAGUUGGGGGCAUUAGUAUUCAAUUGUCAGAGGUGAAAUUCUUGGAUUUAUUGAAGACUAACUACUGCGAAAGCAUUUGCCAAGGAUGUUUUCAUUAAUCAAGACGAAAGUUAGGGGAUCGAAGACGAUCAGAUACCGUCGUAGUC
rnacentral:rRNA from 1 species